UACAACCAUUGGGACACCAUUGGUACUUGAAUACACUACAUUUAAAGAUCAAACGGAAAAAGAUUCAAUAGAAACUGGAAAAUUGAAAAAAGAAGUGAACAAAAACCAAAUUUUACAUAAGUACCUGAGUAGUUGAAAAAAAUUGUUAGGUUUCCAGUCACCAAAACUACCCAGAAACUAUCAAUCCUUAUUUUUCCUCUUCUUCUUCUUCUCCUUCUUACUUGGUGUUUCCGACUCCUCUUCAUUAUCUUCAGAAUGUUUUCUCUUCUUUUUCUUCUCCCCUGCAUCGAUGUUCUCCUCAUCAGCCUCAGCUUCUUGUUUUUUCUUUUUCUUGUCUUUUUUAACCGAAUCUUCAUUUUCUGCCUUGGCAUUGCCAUUUGCAUCCUUGUCAUCGGCUUUCUUGCUCUUUUUCUUUUUCUUUUCUUUCUUCUCUUCACUGACAACAAUCUCCUCUGAUGCUUUCUCUACCUCAUUUCCAUCAGCAGCAUUUUCCGUUAGACCAAAAACGGAAUCUGCUGCAGGAUUAUAAGUCUGCAAAAAGCAGAUUAAACAAACAUAGUCUUCUCUAGGAGGACCAAAAAGAAAUUUGAGAAAGGAAAGGAAAGAGGUAAAAAGGCAGACCUUGGCAGCAGUUAUCAUUGCCCCAGGCCCCUUCUUUCGGUCCUUGUCAUAAACUUCAAGCUUAGGCUUUCCUUUAGCAGACCCAGCAGCACGACUCAAUUCUUUGCCUUCAAGAUUCCUUAGCCGUGCUUCAAGCUGCAAAUAAUCCGCCUUGGCCGUACAGCAGAAUCUUAUUCUAUUUUUUUGUCAUAAUUUUGAAAAAUUUAUUUAUUAAAGUAAUUUUUAAUAAAACCUAUUAUUGAUAAUUAAAUAAUUAAAAUUUUUGAAUAAAAGUUUUAUUAAUAAAAAUUUAACUUAAAUAAAUUUUACUCGAAAAACUGUACUGAAUGGAGUUAGGGGAUAUUCGUUCUUGAGUAUUUUUGAAAUAAAGAGGGGUCUAUUUGGAAUUAACAAUAAUUAGAGGGGUAGUUUAAGAAAUUUAUUAAAAACACCUAGAAUGGGUGCUCGGCUGAGCAAUAUCCCGGCCCAAUGGUGGGAGGGCCGAGCUGGGCUUUAAUAUUUUAAUCCCGGACGCAUUCUUCAUCUUUUUCUUCUUUUAUAAACCCGUUUAUAUUUAAAAUCUCAACCCAAUCCAAAAGGCAAACUAAAAACAUCUACUUUCUUUCUUUACAACUAUUAAAAUAGUUUAAAAACUUAUUUCUUUCAAACAAAUUUAAAAAAUUAAGGCUUCGAGAAACCUAGCCCGAAGGCCGGGCUUAAGUCUACAAUGGCCCAUUCAGGCCCGACCUCAUCCGGCUUAUUUGCUAUCUCUAACUAAAAUGUAGAGAGUUAUACUUGGAUCAAAUUGGAUUGAGUUGGGAUACGAUUGAACAUAAUCCUUACAAAUUAUAGCUAGCUUUCACCGGACUACGCCCAAAACCAGUAAUUCAACUUACAUUGCUAGCUGAAUAAUCAAAAUUGUGAGAAUUAUUUUUUGCACAAUGAGUGCACACAACAUUUCAAACGUAUAAGUUGAUUGCAAAAUAUUGGUGUAAUAACAAAGUCUUCCAUGGGAGAUAACCUCUUCCAACUACAACCAUUGGGACACCAUUGGUACUUGAAUACACUACAUUUAAAGAUCAAACGGAAAAAGAUUCAAUAGAAACUGGAAAAUUGAAAAAAGAAGUGAACAAAAACCAAAUUUUACAUAAGUACCUGAGUAGUUGAAAAAAAUUGUUAGGUUUCCAGUCACCAAAACUACCCAGAAACUAUCAAUCCUUAUUUUUCCUCUUCUUCUUCUUCUCCUUCUUACUUGGUGUUUCCGACUCCUCUUCAUUAUCUUCAGAAUGUUUUCUCUUCUUUUUCUUCUCCCCUGCAUCGAUGUUCUCCU
rnacentral:lncRNA from 1 species